UAUUCUGUUGCUUUUAUGCCAUUCAAAGGCAAGCUAGAAGAACAGGCAAAGCAGGAGUGUCCAGCAGGCAGAACCGGUGGAUCACAAUCCUGUAUGCUGUAUUGCUUCCUCUGCACUUUGCUGUAACUCAAUAAAACCAUGGGAAGAAAGACAAACUAGGAACACAUGGGAACUCUGUCUUUCAGAGUCCAACAGACACAUCAUCUCUCAGGUUCAAGCUGUCCUGACCGAAGCCUCCUUGGCAUCCACCAGCCACCUACAUCUUACCUACGGGGCAAGCAGGCCUUGGCUGUCAGGGUUUGGAUCCUCAUUCCCAUCCAGCAGUAAUGCUGGACCAUCAGCCUGCAACAGCCAACCACACUACAGUCACACCGCAAUGGCUCACAGGGCAACCACUGUCAGAGGACUGUAACCCAAGGAACAGUGAUGAUGAUGGAGGAGGUUCUUAGUGACAGUGAUGGACAAGCUGGAUGGAAACCUGAAAGAUGAGAAGGGAUCAGAGAUGUAGAGAUCUGCAGAGACGAGCAAGUACCC